rnacentral:rRNA from 1 species
CCUACGGGAGGCAGCAGUAAGGAAUAUUGGUCAAUGGAGGCAACUCUGAACCAGCCAUGCCGCGUGCAGGAUGACGGCCCUAUGGGUUGUAAACUGCUUUUAUACAAGAGAAAACCCUGGUACGUGUACCAGGUUGAUAGUAUUGUAAGAAUAAGCAUCGGCUAACUUCGUGCCAGCAGCCGCGGUAAGACGAAGGAUGCAAGCGUUAUCCGGAUUCAUUGGGUUUAAAGGGUGCGUAGGCGGACUGAUAAGUCAGUGGUGAAAUCUCUUUGCUUAACAAAGAAACUGCCAUUGAUACUGUCGGUCUAGAGUAUAGAUGACGUUGGCGGAAUAUGACAUGUAGUGGUGAAAUACUUAGAUAUGUCAUAGAACACCGAUUGCGAAGGCAGCUAACGAAACUAUAACUGACGCUGAGGCACGAAAGUGCGGGGAUCAAACAGGAUUAGAUACCCUGGUAGUCCGCACCGUAAACGAUGAUUACUCGUUGUUGGCGAUAUGACAGUCAGCGACCAAGCGAAAGCGAUAAGAAUCCACCUGGGGAGUACGCCGGCAACGGUGAAACUCAAAGGAAUUGACGGCGAGAGAGAGCGACGGACGACGACGAGGGAGGAGG